CUUUGUGAUUACCUAACGCAGAAAUACGAUGAUAGUAAUUACUGCCAUCAGUAUCAGCUGAGUUUUCUUUCCAUGAGACAUUACAAUAUUUCUAAUGUUAAAAUACCUAUAUAUGCGCAUUACGAAAUUCACAUGCCAUCAUACCUAGUCAUUGAACAACUAUUUUUGGUUCUUUGUAUAAUGAAAAGAUUUUAUUACUACG